ACCCCUUGCCACUCUGUACUGGUCGUCAUUUUUUGUGACUUCUUAGAGAGAAAAGCUACCAAUAUUCUGGCAUUCUGGCAGCUUCUUGCAGCUCCUUGGGCCAGCUGGCAGAGCCUCACAGUUUUUUCAUGAUUGAACAUCUGUUCCUGAUUCUUGAAUGGUCUCUGUGAGUGGAUGGAGCUACCCCUGCUGAUUCAUGUGAACUGAACUGCUGAUAUCCUGACAACACAGGUUGGAUUCCUUUGAAAGAAGUAUUUCUAAACAGGUACUGGUGGACAUAUCCCCACUGAACAGAACCUCUCUGCACAUGCUUUAUUUCAUGAAUAUGAUGAGAUGGCACUUUACCUCUUUAACUUGACAUAACAUUGUAGUGUGGCAAACCUGCUCUUUGUCCACUUUACCAUCUAGAGGGUCUUUUUGGGUGUAGUGUCUUAUCUUUUUUCACAAUAAUAAAUGCAAUGAGUGUGUUGGUGUUGA